AGAGUUUGAUCCUGGCUCAGGAUGAACGCUAGCGGCAGGCCUAACACAUGCAAGUCGAACGGUAACAGGAAUUAGCUUGCUAAUUUGCUGACGAGUGGCGCACGGGUGCGUAACGCGUAUACAAUCUACCUUUUGCUGAGGGAUAGCCCAGAGAAAUUUGGAUUAAUACCUCAUAGUAUUAUUGAUAGGCAUCUAUUAAUAAUUAAAGGUUACGGCAAAAGAUGAGUAUGCGUCCCAUUAGCUAGUUGGCGAGGUAACGGCUCACCAAGGCAACGAUGGGUAGGGGUCCUGAGAGGGAGAUCCCCCACACUGGUACUGAGACACGGACCAGACUCCUACGGGAGGCAGCAGUGAGGAAUAUUGGACAAUGGGCGAGAGCCUGAUCCAGCCAUGCCGCGUGCAAGAAGACUGCCCUAUGGGUUGUAAACUGCUUUUAUACA
rnacentral:rRNA from 1 species